rnacentral:rRNA from 1 species
UACGUAGGGCGCAAGCGUUGUCCGGAAUUAUUGGGCGUAAAGAGCUCGUAGGCGGUGUGUCGCGUCGGUCGUGAAACUUGGGGCUUAACCCUGAGCUUGCGGUCGAUACGGGCAUCACUGGAGUUCGGCAGGGGAGACUGGAAUUCCUGGGUGUAGCGGUGAAAUGCGCAGAUAUCAGGAGGAACACCGGUGGCGAAGGCGGGUCUCUGGGCCGAUGACUGACGCUGAGGAGCGAAAGCGUGGGAGCGAACAGGA